AAAUCUGCACAUGCUGGUUAACAUUCUGGUAUAGACCCAUGACCAUUGGUUCAUCCAGUUCCAAGAUAUAAGCUGGAUAAAAAAAGUGGAAGAAUAAAUAAAAAUAAGAAGAAAAAAAGAAACGUAGAAUAACAAUACGUCACCCCAACUCCGUUGAGGGUGCCAUAAUAAGAAAAAAAAAAGAAACGUAGAAUAACAAUACGUCACCCCAACUCCGUUGAGGGUGCCAUAAUAAACACGAUAUUUUAAGGCUAUAAAUUUUAACUCCAGUUAUAAAAAUAUAGACAUAAUAUUGAAAGCGAAUUUAACAAAUAUUACUGAUAAUUAUCCCUCUAAGACCAUUGUGAUUGUUUUAAACAUUUACAACGGUACUGAAAUAUAUACAGAUGUUGUGC
rnacentral:lncRNA from 1 species